AGCAUGUAACACAAGCACCUAAAGACACAUGCGUCACCACAAACAAAAAAGAAAAGAAAAUUAUAAAGAAAUAAAAAUUAUCUUUUUCAUCAAAAAGGAAGGGAAAUUGCAAGCUUUGUUAUUAGAUUGAAAAAUGCAUAGUGGGAAAAUAAAAAACUUUAACCCAAUGGCUAGUUCAUGUAUCAUUGUAUCUACCAGUAAGAAUAUGUAAACUUCAAUAUUAAAUUGUUUGAAACCUACACCUGGAUUUAGAUGUCUAAACCAACUCAAACAGAAUAGGAUAAAUAAUUGGAUGGUGGAAAUUUGAU
rnacentral:misc_RNA from 1 species